rnacentral:rRNA from 1 species
CGGUUGGUCUAUUAAACUGGAGGUCAUGUAGUCGACGCACAGCGAAGGUGCUUGCACCUUUCAAGUGAGUGGCGAACGGGUGAGUAACACGUGGACAACCUGCCUCAAGGCUGGGGAUAACAUUUGGAAACAGAUGCUAAUACCGAAUAAAACUUAGUGUCGCAUGACACAAAGUUAAAAGGCGCUUCGGCGUCACCUAGAGAUGGAUCCGCGGUGCAUUAGUUAGUUGGUGGGGUAAAGGCCUACCAAGACAAUGAUGCAUAGCCGAGUUGAGAGACUGAUCGGCCACAUUGGGACUGAGACACGGCCCAAACUCCUACGGGAGGCUGCAGUAGGGAAUCUUCCACAAUGGGCGAAAGCCUGAUGGAGCAACGCCGCGUGUGUGAUGAAGGCUUUCGGGUCGUAAAGCACUGUUGUAUGGGAAGAACAGCUAGAAUAGGAAAUGAUUUUAGUUUGACGGUACCAUACCAGAAAGGGACGGCUAAAUACGUGCCAGCAGCCGCGGUAAUACGUAUGUCCCGAGCGUUAUCCGGAUUUAUUGGGCGUAAAGCGAGCGCAGACGGUUUAUUAAGUCUGAUGUGAAAGCCCGGAGCUCAACUCCGGAAUGGCAUUGGAAACUGGUUAACUUGAGUGCAGUAGAGGUAAGUGGAACUCCAUGUGUAGCGGUGGAAUGCGUAGAUAUAUGGAAGAACACCAGUGGCGAAAGGCGGCUUACUGGACUGCAACUGACGUUGAGGCUCGAAAGUGUGGGUAGCAAACAGGAUUAGAUACCUGGUAGUCCACACCGUAAACGAUGAACACUAGGUGUUAGGAGGUUUCCGCCUCUUAGUGCCGAAGCUAACGCAUUAAGUGUUCCGCCUGGGGAGUACGACCGCAAGGUUGAAACUCAAAGGAAUUGACGGGGACCCGCACAAGCGGUGGAGCAUGUGGUUUAAUUCGAAGCAACGCGAAGAACCUUACCAGGUCUUGACAUCCUUUGAAGCUUUUAGAGAUAGAAGUGUUCUCUUCGGAGACAAAGUGACAGGUGGUGCAUGGUCGUCGUCAGCUCGUGUCGUGAGAUGUUGGGUUAAGUCCCGCAACGAGCGCAACCCUUAUUGUUAGUUGCCAGCAUUCAGAUGGGCACUCUAGCGAGACUGCCGGUGACAAACCGGAGGAAGGCGGGGACGACGUCAGAUCAUCAUGCCCCUUAUGACCUGGGCUACACACGUGCUACAAUGGCGUAUACAACGAGUUGCCAACCCGCGAGGGUGAGCUAAUCUCUUAAAGUACGUCUCAGUUCGGAUUGUAGUCUGCAACUCGACUACAUGAAGUCGGAAUCGCUAGUAAUCGCGGAUCAGCACGCCGCGGUGAAUACGUUCCCGGGUCUUGUACACACCGCCCGUCACACCAUGGGAGUUUGUAAUGCCCAAAGCCGGUGGCCUAACCUUUUAGGAAGGAGCCGUCUAAGGCAGGACAGAUGACUAGGUAGACUCACGACAAGAGAUUAUCACUGUG